GGUUAAGUGACUAAGCGUACACGGUGGAUGCCUUGGCAGUCAGAGGCGAUGAAAGACGUAGUAACUUGCGAUAAGCCCAGAUUAGGUAGUAACAACCAUUUGAGUCUGGGAUUUCUGAAUGGGGAAACCCACGUGCAUAAGCACGUAUCCUUACCUGAAUACAUAGGGUAAGGAGGCGAACCGGGGAACUGAAACAUCUAAGUACCCCGAGGAAAAGAAAUCAACCGAGAUUCCGAAAGUAGCGGCGAGCGAAAUUGGACUAGCCCUUAAGCUUUACACGCGUUAGACGAACGGUCUGGAAAGUCCGACGAUACAGGGUGAUAGUCCCGUAGUUGACGACGUGUGUUCAGUGAAAUCGAGUAGGGCGGGACACGUGAUAUCCUGUCUGAAUAUGGGGGACCAUCCUCCAAGGCUAAAUACUACUGACUGACCGAUAGUGAACCAGUACCGUGAGGGAAAGGCGAAAAGAACCCCUGUGAGGGGAGUGAAAUAGAACCUGAAACCGUGUACGUACAAGCAGUAGGAGCACCUUCGUGGUGUGACUGCGUACCUUUUGUAUAAUGGGUCAGCGACUUAUAUUCAGUGGCAAGGUUAACCAUCUAGGGGAGCCGUAGGGAAACCGAGUCUUAACUGGGCGUUCAGUCUCUGGAUAUAGACCCGAAACCAGGUGAUCUAGCCAUGGGCAGGUUGAAGGUUGAGUAACAUCAACUGGAGGACCGAACCGACUAAUGUUGAAAAAUUAGCGGAUGACUUGUGGCUAGGGGUGAAAGGCCAAUCAAACCUGGAGAUAGCUGGUUCUCCCCGAAAGCUAUUUAGGUAGCGCCUCGGACGAAUACUACUGGGGGUAGAGCACUGUUAAGGCUAGGGGUCAUCCCGACUUACCAACCCUUUGCAAACUCCGAAUACCAGUAAGUACUAUCCGGGAGACACACGGCGGGUGCUAACGUCCGUCGUGGAGAGGGAAACAACCCAGACCGCCAGCUAAGGUCCCAAAUUACUACUAAGUGGGAAACGAUGUGGGAAGGCUCAGACAGCCAGGAUGUUGGCUUAGAAGCAGCCAUCAUUUAAAGAAAGCGUAAUAGCUCACUGGUCGAGUCGGCCUGCGCGGAAGAUGUAACGGGGCUAAGUAGUAAACCGAAGCUGCGGCAAUGUGCUUUUGCACAUUGGGUAGGGAGCGUUCUGUAAGCGGUUGAAGGUGUGUGGUAACGCAUGCUGGACGUAUCAGAAGUGCGAAUGCUGACAUGAGUAACGAUAAAGGGGGUGAAAAACCUCCUCGCCGGAAGACCAAGGGUUCCUGUCCAACGUUAAUCGGGGCAGGGUAAGUCGACCCCUAAGGCGAGGCCGAAAGGCGUAGUCGAUGGGAAACGGGUUAAUAUUCCCGUACUUCUUACAAUUGCGAUGGGGGGACGGAGAAGGCUAGGUGGGCCUGGCGACGGUUGUCCAGGUUCAAGUGCGUAGGCUUAAGAGUUAGGUAAAUCCGGCUCUUUUUAAGGCUGAGACACGACGUCGAGCACCUACGGGUGUGAAGUCAUUGAUGCCAUGCUUCCAGGAAAAGCCUCUAAGCUUCAGAUUGUAAGGAAUCGUACCCCAAACCGACACAGGUGGUCGGGUAGAGAAUACCAAGGCGCUUGAGAGAACUCGGGUGAAGGAACUAGGCAAAAUGGUACCGUAACUUCGGGAGAAGGUACGCUCUUGAUGGUGAAGUCCCUCGCGGAUGGAGCUGACGAGAGUCGCAGAUACCAGGUGGCUGCAACUGUUUAUUAAAAACACAGCACUGUGCAAAAUCGUAAGAUGACGUAUACGGUGUGACGCCUGCCCGGUGCCGGAAGGUUAAUUGAUGGGGUUAGACUUCGGUCGAAGCUCUUGAUCGAAGCCCCGGUAAACGGCGGCCGUAACUAUAACGGUCCUAAGGUAGCGAAAUUCCUUGUCGGGUAAGUUCCGACCUGCACGAAUGGCGUAAUGAUGGCCACGCUGUCUCCACCCGAGACUCAGUGAAAUUGAAAUCGCUGUGAAGAUGCAGUGUACCCGCGGCUAGACGGAAAGACCCCGUGAACCUUUACUACAGCUUGGCACUGAACAUUGACCCUACAUGUGUAGGAUAGGUGGGAGGCUUUGAAGCACGUACGCCAGUAUGUGUGGAGCCGUCCUUGAAAUACCACCCUUGUAGUGUUGAUGUUCUAACGUCGACCCCUAAUCGGGGUUGCGGACAGUGCCUGGUGGGUAGUUUGACUGGGGCGGUCUCCUCCCAAAGAGUAACGGAGGAGCACGAAGGUGGGCUAAUCACGGUUGGACAUCGUGAGGUUAGUGCAAUGGCAUAAGCCCGCUUGACUGCGAGAAUGACAAUUCGAGCAGGUGCGAAAGCAGGUCAUAGUGAUCCGGUGGUUCUGAAUGGAAGGGCCAUCGCUCAACGGAUAAAAGGUACUCCGGGGAUAACAGGCUGAUACCGCCCAAGAGUUCAUAUCGACGGCGGUGUUUGGCACCUCGAUGUCGGCUCAUCACAUCCUGGGGCUGAAGUCGGUCCCAAGGGUAUGGCUGUUCGCCAUUUAAAGUGGUACGCGAGCUGGGUUUAGAACGUCGUGAGACAGUUCGGUCCCUAUCUGCCGUGGGCGUUGGAAGAUUGAAGGGGCUGCUCCUAGUACGAGAGGACCGGAGUGGACGAACCUCUGGUGUUCGGGUUGUGUCGCCAGACGCAUUGCCCGGUAGCUAAGUUCGGAAUCGAUAACCGCUGAAAGCAUCUAAGCGGGAAGCGAGCCCUGAGAUGAGUCUUCCCUGAUACUUUAAGUAUCCUAAAGGGUUGUCGGAGACUACGACGUUGAUAGGUCAGGUGUGUAAGUGCUGUGAGGCAUUGAGCUAACUGAUACUAAUUGCCCGUGAGGCUUAACCAU
rnacentral:rRNA from 1 species